rnacentral:lncRNA from 1 species
AUGGGGAUUUCAUCAAUUAUGUCACCAGAGAGACCGGCCGUAGAGCUGACAGCAUUCAAAUCCUCAGGGAUGCAGUGCAUUAGCAGGUUUCUGAUUUUGCUCCACAUUAAGUGUCUAAGCAGGGCAUGCUUAGACUGUUUUCGAGAAGAUGCCACCCAGAAGCAUUACAGCUUUCCUCCCCACACUGGACACAUGAGCGAGGCAGAAACAGUGGCACCCAGGAAUAAAUGUGCUGCGGCAUUUCAGGCGCAGGAGCGGGGUCACGCUCAGCGAGACGGACCCUGAGCACAGGCAUUUGUGCUCUGUCCCCCACA